GGCAGUGUAGUAUAAUGGGUAUGGAGUUGGUCUUGUAACCUAAAGGUCGCAGGUUCGAUUCCCCGCUAGGGUACUGCCG
rnacentral:tRNA from 1 species